rnacentral:misc_RNA from 1 species
GAAAGCUUCUGUUGGUGAUGCAUAUCCUUGCUUGCCUUUGGCGGUGUGGGUUGUUGCUUGUCUGGUGGAGUUUGGUCUUAGCAAACGCGUGGGCGUGUGAGAGGUAUUCGGGUUGUUUGUGAUGGCUGGCUCCAUGCUUGUGUAUCGAACAGUCUUCAUGCAACCCUUUCGAAAAUUCACCUUAUUCCGUUGUGCCUUUGGUGUUUGAUUCAUGUUCCUGUGUUGCCUACCUAUUAAAAGGUACAUGUGAGGCUUGUUGGACUUUUCCCAUCCCGUCCUCUUAGGUUGGGUCGUGGGGGCUUAAGAAGUAUUAUGUGUGUGCCAAUUCAGUCAUGCUCCACGGUGACUAUUUUGGUGUGCAUGUACUUACUGUUCUCUUGGAUGCGGUGCAUGAGGUGAACGUGGGUUGUUUUGCCCAUUGUGUCCCUUGAGUUCUCUGUUGCCUUAAAGUAAUGCCCUGCCUUUUUGCAUGUUUUGCUUUCCAUUAGUGGGCGCAAAGCUUGCAUGAUGUGCAGUGUCAUUAAUGGAUGCUACCUGGUUGAUCCUGCCAGUAGUCAUAUGCUUGUCUCAAAGAUUAAGCCAUGCAUGUUGUAAGUA